CAUAACCUUCUGGUUUGCCUGCCUCACUCCCAACGUCGCAGUGGCUUUUUUAAUGAAAGCCCACCCUACUACAACAGAAGGAUGUAAGGUACUGGCAGUACCACUGCUCCAUCCCCAGGCCCAAAGGGAUAUGAUGGCCCAAGUGUCUGGGCCUGUAGAGAUGAUAAAGGAGACUGCACCUGCAGAGGCCAUACCACUGCUCCAUCCCCAGGCCUAAAGGGAUAUGAUGGCCCAAGUGUCUGGGCCUGUAGAGAUGAUAAAGGAGACUGCACCUGCAGAGGCCAUACCACUGCUCCAUCCCCAGGCCAAAAGGGAUAUGAUGGCCCAAGUGUCUGGGCCUGUAGAGAUGAUAAAGGAGACUGCACCUGCAGAGGCCAUACCACUGCUCCAUCCCCAGGCCAAAAGGGAUAUGAUGGCCCAAGUGUUUGGGCCUGUCGAGAUGAUAAAAGAAACUGCACCUGCAAAACCAGCUGCACCUGCAAAAGAUCCAACCCUUAUUUUCCUUCACUUUAAGCAAUAGCUUCCAGGAUUGCCGUCAAAUCAGUUUUGAUUCAGUCAAUUCAGGAAUUAAACUGAAAUGUCAAUAUUUUUUCUUAUUAGAGGCAAAAAGAAAAAUUAGAAUUUUAGUUUACUUCUUGAACUAAUGGAAUUUAAAUGGAAAUGACCACAACCUUGGUUUCUUGCUUAAUGUGGAAUGACUGAGUUAUGAUAAAUAAAGGUAAUUUGCUAAAUAAA